rnacentral:lncRNA from 1 species
AUGAUACAGAUGGUCCUUGACUUACGAUAGGUUAUAUCCUGAUAAACUGAUCUUAAGUUAAAAAUAUCAUGUUAAAAAUGGAUUUAAGCCACAUGUAGUAACACGACACAUGCCUGUAAUCUCAAUGACUUGGGAGGCUAGGGCAGGAGGAUUGCAGAUUUAAAGCCAGCCUUGGCAACUUAAAGAGGCCUAAGCAACUUAUCAAGACCCUAUCUCAAAAGGUUAAAAAAAAAAAAACAUAAAAGGGCUGGGGAUGUGAAUCAGUGGUUCCCUGGAUUCAAUUCCUAGUACCAAAAAACAAAAAAGGACUUAUACUGGAAUAGCUCUUUUUCUCACUACCUUUAGAAUAAACCAACCCUGCCAACACCGUCAUUUCAGAUUUCUAGCCCCUAGAAUUGUGAAACAAUAUAUCUCUGGAAGCCACCCACUCUGUGGUACUUUGUCAUAGCAGCCUGAGCAAACUAUUUUGCAGGGCAUUUAUUUAUGUUCAGGACUUUGGGAGAUAAGGAACUUACAGAUUGGUUGCUUUCAAAUCUCUUGAAAUACAAGUUUAAUUAUAAUUAGUAAAGGAUUAUUACACAAAAAAUAACCCCUGAAUAUUCAGGAAGAAUUACUGUGUGCUUAGAAAAUUAACUGUAAUCUCUUUAAAAAAUAGAAAAUAGCUUACAAUCACAGUCAAAAAGAAAUUGUCCAUUAACUAAUAGAAAAGGUGCAACCUAAAUCACAUUCUUACUUAUAUGGUAACUCCAAAACUACCACAGGUUUGGGAUAUGUGUUUAUUUUAAAAUAAAAGCAAAUCUCAUCAAAUCAGUUUACAGAAAAUAUGGGGAAUAAAAGAACAAUACCACAUAGAAGCAAAAUGAGAAUGUGGGACUUUCUAUAAGACAAAUGGCAGGGUUUCAUCAAUAAAUAAGUGGCAAAGAACCAAAACAGGAUGAUGUUUUAAAGGAGAGCUAAGAGAUCAACCAAAUGUCAUGUUUAGAACACAUCUGAAUCAGUAAAAAAGGUAUUUUUGAGAAACAGGACAAAUCUAACAUAGACUUAGAUAACACUAAGGAAUAUUUUAUUACAUAAAAAAAUGAAUUCAUCAGACAACCUACUGAACAUUCUAGCUUAGCAACACAGUACACUGUAGAAGAUCAGUUGUUUGUCUUCAUGAUCACGUGGCUGAUUAGGAGCUGUUGCUGCCCAGCAUCACCAGAGGAUCCUACUAUAUAUCACUAGCCUAGAAAAGGAUCAUAUUCAAAAUUCAAAGUACGGGUUCUACUAAAUGCUUAUUGCUUUCCCACCAUCAUGAAGUCAAAAAAUCAUAUGUCAGGGACCAUCAGUGUAUGACAAAUACAUGAAAUAUCAUAAACCCCCCCAAAUAUGGUACCAAUUAUUCUUCCUUUAUAUAAACAAUUAUCCUUUAGAGAUUAAGAAUUAGAAAACCACAUUAUUACCAUUUCUGGUUCUAUCUAUACAUUCAAUUUCCUUUCCAGUAUCAUUUUGUUUCUGUCUAAAAAGUUAUAAACUUUGUGUGGGGGAGGGGACUGGAGAUUGAACUCAGGGGCCCUCAACCACUGAGCCACAUCCCCAGCCCUGUUUUGUAUUUUAUUUAGAGACAGGGUCUCACUGAGUUGCUUAUUGACUUGCUUUUGCUGAAGCUGGCUUUGAACUCUCAAUCCUCCUGCCUCUGCCUCUGGAGCCACUAGGAUUACAGGUGUGUGCCAUCUCGAUCUGCUAAGUUUUAACAUUUUUGUAACUCAGAUGUGCUGGCAAUAAAUCCUCACAUCUUUGUUAGUCUCAAAAAAUAUAUUUUUUAAAGAUAUUUUUCACUAAUUAUGGAAAUCUAGAUGGACAGUAUUUAUUUGUCU